rnacentral:rRNA from 1 species
GGAAAGAAGGGGUGUAGGUAGGUCUAGCGAGCUUAGUGAGCUUGGGAAGGUCUAGCUCUGUCUCACUCUCGAGCGGCGGUGGAGGGAGGCCGUAUCGUGCGGAGGUAGGUACCGUAGGAGGUACGGGAGGAGAAGAGUGGGGAGGGGAAUGGAGUGGUCUUCCCUCUCUUCUUGGGUUCCCUCCCUCUAGGUUGCGCUAGGUCGUAGUCGGAGGCGACGGAACCGGAGCGCGGAGUGGCCUCGUCGAGACGGUAGCCGGCUUCAGGGCGCCCAGUAGCACAAGGGGGCGAGAAGAAGGAGGGAGACAAAUAGAGAAGGAAAAAAAGAGAGUUCAGAGUUGUGGGGAUACAUGAAGAGACACGUUCCUCCGGAGGUACCUGAAGGAGUAGCUCGGCAGCGGCCUCAAGGUUCAGGCGAGGCGAGCUUUGGUAGAAGUUGGAGGCAGUCGGGAACAAGUAGCUACGGGGCGGUUCGUGUGCGGUUCGGCAGCGGCGCAGCUAGAGGUGGCGGGUUCAGGCGGCAGGGCGGCGGGCGGCCUGGAGGGACCGAAAGAAGGAAGUGACGUAUGGUAGUGAGGAGCUUGCGUAGUUCAGGGGGACGUAGUUCGUGGCGGGAACGGUUCUGUGUAGCUCACGUGAGUGUGUGCACCACAGUUCCCGCAACUGGCGCGGGGACGGACCGAUCUAGUGGUCGCGGAGGGUCGAGCUAGGGGACGAGCUGACGAGCGUACCAACCCGAGGUUGGAGCCGAGUCCAAGGGAAGAGGGGGGAGUCGAGUCCGACGUGAGGGUGAUCCUCUCCCGGUGAUUACGACGAGGAGCCGGAGCACCGGUGCCGGAACCGGCGACGACAACGCCGCCGGCUGCUGUAGAGCCUCCCGCUGUGGCUAGGCGAGAUGUCUCGAACGAAGCUUCUUACAGUUUCUUGACCGUGGUACUUUCUCCUAAGAUAAUUUGUAACACAACACGACUGGCUACUGGUCGGAUCACCAUGUCGUACCAUGCGCGUGCUCGGUAACAUGAACUUCACCUUCCUCACCUUGACGUUGUCGCUUAUGACUAUGGUAACAUACUACCUUUCUCUCGUCCUUUCCCUUCUCGAACCUGAUCCCGGCCAGUUCAUAGUACCGUUUACCGGAGAGUUUGCACGAAGACACAAAGUCUAUGGAGAUCGAGGUACUCGGAGAAAGACGUCGAGAUAGACGAGACUGAGAGGAGCACGUUAAGUUACCUACCGAUAUCAAAAAGGAGAACGAAAGAAUGUUCGACGGAGAAUCAGGUCUUUGAGUACACUGUAUGAUGCUUAUGUGGCCUAAUACCGUGUAAUUACACGAGAACCGGUACUUAAACACCAAGACCACACGGUACAUAAGAUGUACCUGCCGGAGGAGGAGCUGUGUCUCCCCAAGAUGUGCCUCCACGUCCUCUUCUAGAGCGCUCCAUGCCGUUCCACAAGCUGACCAGGGAGUUCCGGUUAUACUACCCACUUUUCCGGUGGCUCAGCUGCGUGUAGAAGUAGUUGCUCACGUCGGAGCGAUCGGAUGAGUGGGGCCUCGUCAAGGAGCUCCUCGCACUCCCGUACUACGUCCUCGAGAAGGGGAGGGCGCAGCAGGACGGACUACUAACGGAAGUAAGUACAAAGCUGCACUCGAGAUCCAACUUCAACCUUCUUCGUUCCGUACGUGCUAGAUCCGUACGUACGUGCGAGAGAAUAGGGACGAAGACGAGGAAUCCUCUACACUUAAAGAUCCUGAAAACUACAUGAGGGUCGUAAAUAGAAAAGAGAAUAGAGAAACAACAAAACGAUCUUUGCAUUUAGGACUACGUACUACUAGUACCAAACAAAAACAUCUAGACAAUACUACCGCGAAUUUUAAAAUGUACGGAGCUAAGACUAACUUGAACAAGAACAUCCAGAAAGGUGAAGAUACUAGUCAAAUCAAUCUCAACGUGUACAGUCUUGUGAUAUAUGGUUAUUGAGGGUCGAUCACUCUUAAAAAAAACAGUGAGGUAAUUGUGUAUGACCAAUCAUACAUGUACCUUAAACAACAGUUAAAACAAUCUUACGUUGGAAAACCAUUAAGACCUGAAAAGAAAACGCCAUUACAUUACUACAAUCUACAAACAACUAACAACAUAUACCCUUUCUACUUAGGAUAACAAAAGAAAAACUACAUGUACGUACGACUACCAACUGUGAGUACUUGUCGUUCGUUGGUAAGAUCAAUGAUGGAUCCACCAGUCUCUAACAACAUAAUAAAUACAAGAAAAAUGAGUGUCUCAAUAACAAGCGAGUAUGAUAGCAGUGUAACGGACAAAAAGAACCAGGUAUGUACAUAGAGUUCGUAACAUGAAGACACAAACGAAUCCGCCUAUCGCUCGUCUAGAUGAAACGACGAAUGUAAUCACAACUGUAACGUAACAUACUAUCAUAACAUACUAUCACCCGUCUAGAUGAAACGAAGAAUGCAAUCACAACGGUAACGUAAACAAACCAAAACCGGAGCCGUCGUCAUAUGAUUACGAAGUUCUAGAUAAAUAAUAAGACAAGUAAUAUGAUUACGGAGUCGUCAUCAUAUGAUUACAAACCAUAAGUUAAACGACGAAUACAAUCACAACGAUGACAAUAGGUACGGGAGUACGAAGUCCUAGCUGAGGAUCGACGGACACAUAGACAAAUAAUAAGACAAGUAAUAAGAAAAGGAUCAACAAGAAACAACCUUCUAUAACGAAAGUAACCAUCGGUACUAUUACUAUUAAAGGAGAGAAGAUGUCCUCGAGAUCCUACUUCUUCAAGCUUCUUCCCUUGUGAAGUAGAAACAUCGAUCAAAAUACAAGCACUCGCAAAUGAAGUAUCUACAAGGACCCACAAGGACCUACAGACAAAUGAAGUAUCUACAAGAACCUACAAGGACCCACAAACGUGAAGGACCCACAAGAUUUAAGGACCUACUACACUUGAUAGUGUACUAACAUUAUAUAUUAUAUGAGUAAAACCUGCAGUAAACACUUUUAAACACACUAACUUUA